rnacentral:rRNA from 1 species
CCUACGGGGGGCAGCAGUGGGGAAUAUUGGACAAUGGGCGAAAGCCUGAUCCAGCCAUGCCGCGUGUGUGAAGAAGGCCUUCGGGUUGUAAAGCACUUUCAGUGGGGAAGAAAGCCUUGGGGCUAAUACCCUCGAGGAAGGACAUCACCCACAGAAGAAGCACCGGCUAACUCCGUGCCAGCAGCCGCGGUAAUACGGAGGGUGCGAGCGUUAAUCGGAAUUACUGGGCGUAAAGCGCGCGUAGGCGGUCUGAUAAGCCGGUUGUGAAAGCCCCGGGCUCAACCUGGGAACGGCAUCCGGAACUGUCAGGCUAGAGUGCAGGAGAGGAAGGUAGAAUUCCUGGUGUAGCGGUGAAAUGCGUAGAGUUCGGGAGGAAUACCAGUGGCGAAGGCGGCCUUCUGGACUGACACUGACGCUGAGGUGCGAAAGCGUGGGUAGCAAACAGGAUUAGAUACCCCGGUAGUC